rnacentral:rRNA from 1 species
CACGUAGGGCGCAAGCGUUGUCCGGAAUUAUUGGGCGUAAAGAGCUCGUAGGCGGUCUGUUGCGUCUGCUGUGAAAACCCGGGGCUCAACCCCGGGCCUGCAGCCGAUACGGGCAGACUAGAGUUCGGCAGGGGAGACUGGAAUUCCUGGUGUAGCGGUGAAAUGCGCAGAUAUCAGGAGGAACACCGGUGGCGAAGGCGGGUCUCUGGGCCGAUACUGACGCUGAGGAGCGAAAGCGUGGGGAGCGAACAGG